rnacentral:lncRNA from 1 species
UCGAGGAGCGGUUGCUAUAGUGAGGGCAGCAGCGUGCAGAGGGGGAGAGGUCAAGGACGGUUGCCAGUUCAUGGAGGAGAGAUGCAACACAAUGGUGAGCUCUUUCUUCCCCCUUUCCUCAUCUUCCCUUGGUGAACUGAGCUCAUACUUCCUUUUUUUUCUUCUAAUUAUGCACAUAGUGUUUGGGUUGCAGUUGAUUCCUACACUGAGUUUCAGUGGUGGCAUGGUGUCCAUCUCCAGGCCGGUUGCAACCUUCUUCCCCCAUCAUUCCCUGUAUUUUUUUCAUAAUUUACACACUAAGUUGUAGAUUGGUCGGAUCUAUUGGCAUUAGGCAGCACAAUAAUAACAAUAUUUGUCAACUUUUUCAUGUGCAGGUUCAGCAGCGGCAAUGCUCCAGAUAGAGUUAGGACGAUCUGAAUAAACAGAGAUGAGCAGCAGCAGGGUUGGGUUCUCCAUUUGUAUGCGUUGCAUUUGUUAAUUUUGUUGUGCUCAUGUUUCUGUUUCGUGCCAUUGUCCACGAGUUCUACUUGCUGCUUAUUUCCAAUUAAGUAUUUAGUUCCAUAAUGCUCUGGCCAACCUAUUUUAUUGCAACAUUUGUGGUUCUUUUGUGCCAGAUUAGCUGUUUGUAUUUUUUUCCAAGUUCUUAUGGCAUACUUUCUUAAGAUUUUUAUUUGUGACACUUGCAGAAGUGCGGUUCAACAUUAGUUAGUAAUGCCCAGUAAGUUACUAAGGUGUUAUGUAACUGCAAUCCUUGAAAGUAGAGAUGAGAUAUCUAUCCAAUUCUACAUAUAUGGUUUAAAGUUCAUUGCGACAACCUUGCUCAUAUGUUUCGAUUAGUACAGAGCAAGGUUGGCUUAAAGUUCAUUCUAAAAUUCUUCGCUUUGUUGUAUUAUUUCUACAUAUAUCCUUUAAAGUUAGAGAAAUUUAGAUGUGAAAUGCCCAGAGUAUUAUGUCACACUUUUAUCAGAUUGCCAAGUUGGUAGCCGCUUUUGCGAUUAUAAAUGUUUUUUUAGAGCAGCUGCUACUUCAGUGCCCAACUUUGAAGAAUGUACAUGCACUUGGAUGCCAAGAUAUGUCGAUUGGUGCAAUUAGAACCCCAGGUAUUACUUUGUUAACACAUUUCUCACCCCAAAUAUUUUUUUUCAGUUUGAGCUUUCUCCCAUAACUCGUACGGAUUGAUGAGAGGUUUGAUACAAAUAUACAUAUAAUUAUGCCUUUCUUCUCUACGCUAUGCAGGUGGCUAUGUUGUUGAUGGGGAUUAAUUAUUGUACUACCCGCAAAAAAGUACCCGCAAGAAAAUAU